ensembl:snRNA U1 U1 spliceosomal RNA
AUCCUUACCUGGCAGGGGAGAUACCAUGAUCGUGAAGGUGGUUUUCCCAGGGUGAGGUUUAUCCAUUGCACUCCAGAUGUGCUGACCCUGUGAUUUCCCCAAAUGUGGGAAACUCAAUUGCAUAAUUUGUGGCAGUGUGAACUAUGUUCUCACUAUUCCCU